rnacentral:rRNA from 1 species
GAUGAACGCUGACAGAAUGCUUAACACAUGCAAGUCCACUUGAACUUCGGUUUGGGUGGCGGACGGGUGAGUAACGCGUAAAGAACUUGCCUCACAGCUAGGGACAACAUUUGGAAACGAAUGCUAAUACCUGAUAUUAUGAUUAUAUGGCAUCGUAUAAUUAUGACAGCUAUCUGCGCUGUGAGAGAGCUUUGCGUCCCAUUAGCUAGUUGGAGAGGUAACAGCUCACCAAGGCGAUGAUGGGUAGCCGGCCUGAGAGGGUGAUCGGCCACAAGGGGACUGAGACACGGCCCUUACUCCUACGGGAGGCAGCAGUGGGGAAUAUUGGACAAUGGACCGAGAGUCUGAUCCAGCAAUUCUGUGUGCACGAUGAAGUUUUUCGGAAUGUAAAGUGCUUUCAGUUGGGAAGAAAAAAAUGACGGUACCAACAGAAGAAGUGACGGCUAAAUACGUG